rnacentral:rRNA from 1 species
AUUGAACGCUGGCGGCAGGCCUAACACAUGCAAGUCGAGCGGAUGAAGGGAGCUUGCUCCUGGAUUCAGCGGCGGACGGGUGAGUAAUGCCUAGGAAUCUGCCUGGUAGUGGGGGAUAACGUCCGGAAACGGGCGCUAAUUCCGCAUACGUCCUGAGGGAGAAAGUGGGGGAUCUUCGGACCUCACGCUAUCAGAUGAGCCUAGGUCGGAUUAGCUAGUUGGUGGGGUAAAGGCCUACCAAGGCGACGAUCCGUAACUGGUCUGAGAGGAUGAUCAGUCACACUGGAACUGAGACACGGUCCAGACCCCUACGGGAGGCAGCAGUGGGGAAUAUUGGACAAUGGGCGAAAGCCUGAUCCAGCCAUGCCGCGUGUGUGAAGAAGGUCUUCGGAUUGUAAAGCACUUUAAGUUGGGAGGAAGGGCAGUAAGUUAAUACCUUGCUGUUUUGACGUUACCAACAGAAUAAGCACCGGCUAACUUCGU